UCUGAAUAAGAAACACUCCAAAACUCCUUUUUUUCCCCCCUCCACCUCCCCCCCUUUUUCUCUCUCUCUCUCUCCCUCUCUCUCAAGAACACCAAGAACCACCACUCGUCGUCCUCUUCGAUUGAUCUCCAGAUCUGAUCCCCGUUUCGAAGUGGUUGUGGAUUUAUAGGUAUUGGAUUGGUGGUGUUGUUGAAUUUAGGUUGAGUUGUGAGGGUUUUUUGAGCGUGAGAUGAGGGAUGUCAGCAUUGUUGAUGAAGAUUUUGAGCACUUGUUGGCAGCCGACGAGUGAUCGGUACACCGCUGCCGGCCUCGACGCUGCUGGACGGCAGGAUGGGUUGCUGUGGUACAAGGACAUUGGUCAGCAUUUGAAUGGAGAGUUCUCUAUGGCUGUUGUUCAGGCUAACAAUUUGCUUGAGGAUCAGAGCCAGAUCGAGUCUGGUGCUUUGAGCUUGCUCGAUUCUGGCCCCGUUGGGACCUUCGUCGGAGUCUAUGAUGGGCAUGGCGGCCCCGAGACAUCCCGGUUUGUCAAUGAUCAUUUGUUCCAGAAUCUCAAGAGAUUUGCAAGUGAGCAACAGUCAAUGUCAGCUGAUGUCAUACGGAAGGCAUUUCAAGAGACAGAAGAAGGGUUCCUUUCUGUAGUCACCAGACAAUGGCCUCUUAUACCUCAGAUAGCUGCGGUGGGCUCUUGCUGUCUGGUUGGCAUUGUUUGUAGUGGAACCCUGUAUGUUGCUAAUGCCGGGGAUUCACGUGCUGUUUUGGGUAGGCUUGUUAAGGCAACAGGGGAGGUCUUGGCUAUCCAGUUGUCAGCAGAACACAAUGCGGUUCAUGAGUCUGUGAGACAAGAAUUAUACUCUUUGCACCCAGAUGAUUCUCAAAUCGUGGUUUUGAAGCAUAAUGUUUGGCGUGUGAAGGGACUCAUCCAGGUCUCUAGGUCAAUUGGAGAUGUGUAUUUGAAGAAGGCGGAGUUUAACAGGGAACCUUUAUAUGCAAAAUUUCGUCUGCGGGAACCUUUCAAAAGACCGAUAUUGAGUGCUGAACCAUCAAUUACUGUGCAACAAUUACAACCACACGAUCAGUUCCUUAUAUUUGCAUCUGAUGGACUCUGGGAGCACUUAAGCAACCAGGAAGCAGUUGACAUUGUCAAAAACCAUCCACAUGCUGGAAUUGCACGAAGGCUGGUGAAAACUGCUCUUCAAGCAGCUGCAAAGAAAAGAGAGAUGAGAUACUCUGAUCUUAAGAAAAUUGAUCGCGGAGUCCGUAGGCAUUUUCAUGAUGAUAUCACUGUUAUUGUGGUUUUCUUGGACUGGAAUUUGAUAAACAAGUCAAGCGCAUAUAAAGGAUCCUCAUUGUCUAUAAAAGGGGCCGGGAUCAAUUUACCUGUGAUUUCUUUUGCACCGUGUUCGACAACCACAUAGCACUGACCAUCACCUGAUAAAUUUUGGAGUGAAGUGUAUAUCAUUUACUAUCUACACCCAUGGGCAUAUAUUGUUAUCGAGAAGGAAAGAAGACAGCUUUCUUGUUUUUCAGUCUUACCAUGUAGUUUGAGGAAGUCGAUUCCCUCUCAUGCUUCAAUGCCAGGGAUGAAGUACAAGCUAUCGGGUUGGAUAAAGUAGUCUGAUCACAGUGGCGUAGUCCGCCCCAAUUCCUCGUCUUCAUUGCCAAUGCUUGUGAUUUCACACUGUUGCAUGGUUGCAUUGUGGAUGGACAAGCCAUCACUGGUUCUCUGUACCAAAACUCUCAGGGCAGGUUUUUCGGGUCCCUUUAUGACACAUCUCAGGCCGAGUUGCCCCCAUUUUGAGCAUCAUCUUCAUGUGCCAUGGUUCCAUCAGUAAAUUUGGAGCUAUUAUUUCUUCUAUACUGCCUUUUUCUAAGCUGCAGCUUGGCUGAUCAAUUGCAAUCAGGCUUAUCAGUGCAAACUACUGCCUUUUAACUUCUUUGGUUUUGGCUGUUUAUAUUAUAAGAAAAUCAGUUUUAUUGCCCUUUUUUUUCUGUGCAUAUGAGAAUAGGAGAUCAAGAAAAAUCGUUUGGGG